CGGCAAUCUUCGAAACAGCAAAAGAAACUGGCACAGUCCUUGCCAUCCAGACACUCAUACCCAUAUUCUUCAUCUCUCUCUUGAAGAUUAUUACAGAAAGAGAGAAGAUGGUGUUGUAGGAGGAUCCUGAGCUCACCACUCCCACAGCUAUACCGAGGUAUAACAACUACAUAUAUUGCAACUCACUCUGAAAAUGACCUGAAGAUUGGCAGAACAUAUCUUCUGUAACAGCAGGACCUAACUCCAGGAGAGCCAGAAGGUCAUAGGAAACCAAGUCUCCACUUUUAAUUGAAGAGCCAGCAUGCUAUAUUACUCACUGUGUAUGCCUGCACAGAAGAACCAGUUUGCAGAGAGUUUGCAGGCCAGAAGGGAUUGGCUGCUGAAAGGAAAAAACCUACAAGCAAAAAUACUUCACCUGGCAAGGCUAUCAUUCAGAAUUGAAAGAGAAAAACUUUCCCAGACAAACAAAAGUUACAAAAGUUCAUCACCAUUAAACUGGCCUUACAAGAAAUGUAAAUGUGAAAGGGACUUCUUUAAGUGUAAAAUAAAAGGUCAUAACUAGAAACGA